GUGCCAGCAGCCGCGGUAAUACGGAGGGUGCAAGCGUUAUCCGGAUUCACUGGGUUUAAAGGGUGCGUAGGUGGGAAUGUAAGUCAGUGGUGAAAUCUCCGUGCUUAACAUGGAAACUGCCAUUGAUACUAUGUUUCUUGAAUUUUCUGGAGGUCAGCGGAAUAUGUCAUGUAGCGGUGAAAUGCUUAGAUAUGACAUAGAACACCAAUUGCGAAGGCAGCUGACUACAGGGAUAUUGACACUGAGGCACGAAAGCGUGGGGAUCAAACAGGAUUAGAAACCCGCGUAGUCC
rnacentral:rRNA from 1 species